rnacentral:rRNA from 1 species
AUACGUAGGUCCCGAGCGUUGUCCGGAUUUAUUGGGCGUAAAGCGAGCGCAGGCGGUUUAAUAAGUCUGAAGUUAAAGGCAGUGGCUUAACCAUUGUUCGCUUUGGAAACUGUUAGACUUGAGUGCAGAAGGGGAGAGUGGAAUUCCAUGUGUAGCGGUGAAAUGCGUAGAUAUAUGGAGGAACACCGGUGGCGAAAGCGGCUCUCUGGUCUGUAACUGACGCUGAGGCUCGAAAGCGUGGGGAGCAAACAGGAUUAGAUACCCUGGUAGUCCACGCCGUAAACGAUGAGUGCUAGGUGUUAGGCCCUUUCCGGGGCUUAGUGCCGCAGCUAACGCAUUAAGCACUCCGCCUGGGGAGUACGACCGCAAGGUUGAAACUCAAAUGAAUUGACGGGG